rnacentral:tRNA from 1 species
GAAGGUGUAGCUCAGUGGUAGGGCAUGUACCCAGAAUGUGCAAGGCCCUGGGUUCAAUCCCCAGCAAUUCA